ACGUAGGAGGCGAGCGUUAUCCGGAUUCACUGGGCGUAAAGCGCGUGCAGGCGGUUCGGUAAGUUGGGCGUGAAAUCUCCUGGCUUAACUAGGAGAGGUCGUCCAAUACUACCGGGCUUGAGAGUGGUAGAGGAAGAUGGAAUUCCAGGUGUAGUGGUGAAAUGCGUAGAUAUCUGGAGGAACACCAGUGGCGAAAGCGAUCUUCUGGACCAUUUCUGACGCUCAGACGCGAAAGCUAGGGUAGUAAACGG
rnacentral:rRNA from 1 species